UUCGGAUGAUCGAUCGGUGACUGAGUGGCGGACGGGUGAGUAACGCGUGGGUAACCUGCCCUGUACAGGGGGAUAACAGUUGGAAACGGCUGCUAAUACCGCAUAAGCGCACAGUACCGCAUGGUACAGUGUGAAAAACUCCGGUGGUACAGGAUGGACCCGCGUCUGAUUAGCUGGUCGGUGAGGUAACGGCUCACCAAGGCGACGAUCAGUAGCCGGCUUGAGAGAGUGAACGGCCACAUUGGGACUGAGACACGGCCCAAACUCC
rnacentral:rRNA from 1 species